rnacentral:rRNA from 1 species
UACGUAGGUGGCAAGCGUUAUCCGGAUUUAUUGGGCGUAAAGGGAACGCAGGCGGUCUUUUAAGUCUGAUGUGAAAGCCUUCGGCUUAACCGGAGUAGUGCAUUGGAAACUGGGAGACUUGAGUGCAGAAGAGGAGAGUGGAACUCCAUGUGUAGCGGUGAAAUGCGUAGAUAUAUGGAAGAACACCAGUGGCGAGAGCGGCUCCCUGGUCUGUAACUGACGCUGAGGUUCGAAAGCGUGGGUAGCAAACAGG